CAAAAUUUUUUGUUGUUGCCUACACCAAAAAAACGAAUUGAAGUCCUCGUGUAUUAAUAAAAACCAUCAGUUGAAAGUUGAACUGUCUAGUGAAUCACACUCACGUGGCAGAGCAUGUGGCAAUGGACGGUAACGGAUAGAAAACUGACGGAGAGGAUGAGAAUCCCAAAUUCUCCCUGUAUGGCCAAUGGCGUCUGCCGUUAAAGCAUCAUCCAUCCAACCUAUUUCACUUCCACUUCUUCUUCUUCUUCUUCUCUUUCUCUCUCUGCAAAAUCCCAAUUCAGGCCCUUAAUUUUUGCUUAUUUCUUUGUCAAAAUUAUAUUUUUAAGUCCUCAGUAUAUCCAAAUCAUAUGCUUUGGUUUCGUUGAAGGGAGGAACUUCUUACAGAAAGUUAUGUUUCUAUAUUUAAUUUUGUUGGUCACCUCAGUUAUCCACACUGCUUGAAUCUCUACUCCAUUGUGUAACUUGCAUUUUGUGAACAAUUUGGCGAGGAACAAUCAAACUUUUGAAGGGGUUGAGAUAUCUGUUAUUGAGAUUAAAUAAAAUUUUUGGGGCACUCUUUGUUUGAAGGCUGUACUAUAAUGAUCGAUGGGGUAUCUUUUAGUUCUUUAGCA